AGGGCUGCUUCGCCAAACCGCUUCAGACCGCCAUCAACUUGACAGUUUUGACAACUCGUUCCCAAAACUGUCAAAAAUCGCCAUAUUUGUGCUCGCACGAGAAGGAUUUUUUGUGUCACACUCAUCGCGGUAUCUCGUUUGGACCUUCGAAAGGCCACAGUUGUGUGUAGCAUAAAUUCAGCUUAGCAAGAUGAUUACUCCUCGUUUGACGACCAUGGCCCGCACCGCUCUGGUUCAGCACCAGCGCCGCGGAUUCUACUCGGUCACUCCCGGAUUGCCGCAAGUCCGUGUCUCGCUUGGCGAGAAGGUCUGCCACGGCAUUGCCAUCUUCUGUGGCCUGUUGGCCUACCCAACCUGGGUGGUGGCCCAUAUGCGCGAAUACCGACAGGGCGGAGCUAAGUAAACUGUUUACAUCCCCCUUCGUUAAGGAUUUAGUUGCUAAUAUUCGGCAGUGGAAGUGGAACAGAGGAGGUCAUCAUCCGUGUGUUGAAAAUAACGUAAGAUCCGCAAGGUGCAUCCGUUUAUUUGUAAGUUCCAAAGUUGUAUCAUGAAAGUACUAAAGCGAUGGAGGAAUAAAAUGACCGGAAAGUAGACGUUUAUGUUGAA